AAAACUGUAAGGAGGAUAGGGUCACAAGGAAAGUUAAAUAUCUUCUAAACCUAAAUCUCACUAACAAAGAGGAUUGGUAGCAGGAUUGUGACACCCCACCAAGAAUCUCCCAACUAUCUUGAUGUUAAUGGCUGGCCUAAAGACAACAUUGAUCCAGCCGCAAGGGCAAGGGCAAGGCCUCCGAUAUCCUGGCACCUUGUUGGCCCUCUUUAGCAUAUGAAAGCUCCGUUGAAACCUCCCUUCCCCUCAC